UACAGAGGGUGCAAGCGUUAAUCGGAUUUACUGGGCGUAAAGCGUGCGUAGGUGGUUUCGUAAGUCGGAUGUGAAAGCCCCGGGCUCAACCUGGGAACUGCAUUCGAUACUGCGAGACUCGAGUUUGGUAGAGGGUGGCGGAAUUCCCGGUGUAGCGGUGAAAUGCGUAGAUAUGUGGAAGAACACCGGUGGUGAAGACGGUUUACUGGGCUGAUACUGACGCUGAGGCGCGAAAGCAUGGGGAGCAAACAGG
rnacentral:rRNA from 1 species